AUGAAUCACGAAGAUGGCGCUGAUACUUGGGGUUCUCAAAGGCCAGAAAUGCCCCCUUGGGAUGCAUCAGAGUACAGUCAACUCAUCUCUGCAGGGCUGUUGCUGCCACUACUAGAACAGUAUGCAGGCAUUGGCAGCCAACUUCAACUAGCUAAUAUGGCUAAUCAAGGUGAACAUGCAGAGCCUUCAUGCAGCACGUGGCAUCAGGCAGCACCCAUGUACCUGCCAUCGACGUCAUACACAGGUUAUUACGGUGGUGGUAACCCGGCCAACGUCUCGUGGCAAGCUUCACAGAUUGCAGGUGGAGCAUGUCAAUUUGGUGUCACAGACCACACAAGAUGGUCACAUGCAGCACAACAAGGGCCUACAACUACAGUGAACAGCGGCACGGGCACAUCUACUAUGGGGAGCUUUGAGCGCAUGGAAGACGCGUUCCCCCAGCCAGCAGACAAUCAUGCCGCAAACAAUGCCGAGUCAGUGUCGGAAAUGGCAAUCAUUCCAGCAAUUCCCACGGCCAACCCUUUGAACGCAAGCAGUGGCAACACUCAAGUAGAUGAAACUGCCGCCGAUACUGAAGUGAAUGAUGAAACUGACGACGAGGCACAACGGGAUGAAGAUGAUGGGCAACCAGAGAUCAUGGUACCUCAGCCACCGAAAAUUAAGAAAACUAAUGAGUACAGCAGAGGUGAGAUGAGGUGCCACAAGGCACGAAGGAACAAGAAAGGGAAAGGUGUUGCGCCUGUCGUUCUGGAACAAAAGAGAGGGAUCAUUCUCAAGACGGGAUGCCUUGUCCAGUGUAAGCUAAACGUAGAUGGAACACAGUAUGUGCUCACUGAAUAUUUUGACGAGCACAACCACAAACUCAUAAAGAAGUUCGACCUGGUCAAAUUUCUGACCGCCCACAGAGGAUUCACCCCAGUCGAAAGGCAAUUCGUAAAGCUGAUCCAGGAAGAAAUAAAGCGUGUCAGCAUGUUCACGGCUUUCCAGGUGGACAAACAUACGUUCAAGGUGUGUUCUAUUUUGGGCAUGUCAGAUUCAGAACCUGAAGACCCGGACAAAGGAAGGAACUACUUUGUCAAAGCCUCGAUAGGCGAAGGCGAAUACUACUGCCAAUGCUGCAAGUUUGAACGGGACGGCAUUGUGUGUUGUCACAUACUAAAAGUAAUGGACAUGAACGCUGUGACACGGAUGCCCCGCCAUUUCAUAAGGCGGCGAUGGACUUGGGACGCUGACGACGCGUUUGCGCCGCAGAGAACAAAUGCAGUUCUGGCUGUGCAUGACGAGAGACCUGAGGCAACCAUAGAAGCCGUGAGGCACGUUGUGCUGACAAAGAAUUAUGCUGAGCUAAUUGAUGAAGCAUGCAAGAGUGAUGAGACAGUGAGAGUCGCAGAAAAACACAGGAAGGCCCUGAAAAGAGAGCUUGAUGAGAUCAAGAAGAGGAAAGCUGAGGAAGCCUUACACCGGUUCCCCCGCACAUCAAGUGUGCCUUCAUCCACGGGGCCAUCAUCUGAAAACUCUGAGAUAGGAUCUGGAACAGCAAGCACACAAAUCCAGGUCAGGAACCCACCCCGUUCCAUCACAAAGGGUCGUCCAAGAGAGAUAAGGUACAAAUCGGGAUUGGAGAUUCAAGCAAAACACAAGAAAACAAAGAAAGGGACGGGCAAUCCAUAA
rnacentral:rRNA from 1 species